GACGAACGCUGGCGGCGUGCCUAAUGCAUGCAAGUCGCACGGGUCUCCUUCGGGAGGUCAGUGGCGAACGGCUGAGGAACACGUGGGGACCUAUCUUUCAGGGGGGGACAACACCGCGAAACCGGUGCUAAUCCCGCUUACGCUCUGCGGAGGAAAGCGUGAGCAAUCACGGGCUGAAGAUUGGCCCGGCGGCCCAUCAGGUAGUUGGCGGGGUAACGGCCCACCAAGCAGGUGACGGGUGGCUGGUCAGCGAGGACGACCGGCCAGACUGGGACUGAGAUACGGCCCAGACUCCUACGGGAGGCAGCAGCAAGGAAUUGUCGGCAAUGGGCGCAAGCCUGACCGGGCAACGCCGCGUGCGGGAUGACGGCCUUCGGGUUGUAAACCGCUUUUGGGGGGGAAGAAACAGACGGUACCCCCCGAAUCAGCCCCGGCUAACUCUGUG
rnacentral:rRNA from 1 species